GUACACGCUGUGACUAGCAUAUCAAUAAGCGGAGGAAAAGAAACUAACAAGGAUUCCCCUAGUAACGGCGAGUGAAGCGGGAAGAGCUCAAAUUUGAAAUCUUAAAGGGUUUCCCUUUACGAAUUGUAGUUUAAAGAAGUGUUUUCUGUUGAGGUUUUGGUAAAAGUUCUUUGGAAUAGGACAUCAUAGAGGGUGAGAAUCCCGUAUUUGACCUCUACUUUCAACUUUGUGAUACACUUUCAAAGAGUCGGAUUGUUUGGGAAUGCAGUCCAAAAUGGGUGGUAAAUUUCAUCUAAAGCUAAAUAUUGGCGAGAGACCGAUAGCGAACAAGUACCGUGAGGGAAAGAUGAAAAGAACUUUGAAAAGAGAGUUAAACAGUACGUGAAAUUGUCAAAAGGGAAGCGUUUGACACCAGUGUUGUUUUUCUGAAAAUCAAUUAAAGAACUGUUUAUGCUAAGCUGUUUAGACUUUAUCAGCUAACUGUUUAGUUUUGAGCUUUUCUUUAAUGCACUUUUCAGUUAACAAGUCAACAUCAAUUUCUUUUGCUGUAAAAAAGCUUGAGGAAGGUGGCUUGAGAUUCGUCUUAAGUGUUUAUAGCCUCUUGCCUAUGCAGUCGGAGAGAUUGAGGUCUGCAGCGUAGAUCCUUCGGGGCUAAAUGCAUUUGUGCUAAGUUAUAGCAUUUUAUAGACAACUUGUUGACUAUGAUUUGUCUUGUAGCUUACUCGCUUAUGUUAUUUUACCUACGCUUAGGAUGUUGAUCUACAGAGCGAGAGU
rnacentral:rRNA from 1 species